GAUGAACGCUGGCGGCGUGCCUAAUACAUGCAAGUCGAGCGAAUGGAUUAAGAGCUUGCUCUUAUGAAGUUAGCGGCGGACGGGUGAGUAACACGUGGGUAACCUGCCCAUAAGACUGGGAUAACUCCGGGAAACCGGGGCUAAUACCGGAUAAUAUUUUGAACUGCAUGGUUCAAAAUUGAAAGGCGGCUUCGGCUGUCACUUAUGGAUGGACCCGCGUCGCAUUAGCUAGUUGGUGAGGUAACGGCUCACCAAGGCAACGAUGCGUAGCCGACCUGGGGAGGUGAUCGGCCACACUGGGACUGAGUAACGGCCCAGAAGCCUACGGGAGGCAGCAGUAGGGAAUCUCCCGCAAUGUACGAAAGUCUGACGGAGCAACGCCGCGUGAGUGAUGAAGGCUUUCGGGUCGUAAAACUCUGUUGUUAGGGAAGAACAAGUGCAAGUUGAAUAAGCUGGCACCUUGACGGUACCUAACCAGAAAGCCACGGCUAACUACGUGCCAGCAGCCGCCGUAA
rnacentral:rRNA from 1 species